rnacentral:snoRNA from 1 species
GGAUCAUUUAUGACUUCGAAUCUGGAUCUCAUUGGAAUAUGAACAAACUGAGUGGCAUGGUCACAUGUCAGCUAAGGUCC